AUAAAGACUAUGAUUAGGAAAAGUACUUGUUUUGAUAUCUAAAGAGAGUAGUUGUUUGGUGCAAAGCUAUGAUUAGAAGUAAGGAAAAUCACCUAUGAGUUGGAGGCUGAAGUUCUAGUAAGCUUAUCCCGUUAGCCUGCGUUAAAGGAUAGAGUAUGUUUGUACUCGAAAUUACGACUACCCAUGUUUUAAUAGGGGUAGGGUAUAACCUUAGGUGGUAUAGCGAAUGUAACUUCGUCCUUUAG
rnacentral:ncRNA from 1 species